rnacentral:rRNA from 1 species
UACAUGUGGGGCAAGCGUUGUUCGGAAUUACUGGGCAUAAAGGGUGCGUAGGCGGCUUGUUAAGUCAGGGGUGAAAGUUUUCGGCCCAACCGGAAAAUUGCCUUUGAUACUGGCGAGCUGGAGUGCGUGAGGGGUGACCGGAACGAGUGGUGUAGCGGUGAAAUGUGUAGAUAUCACUCGGAAGGCCAACGGCGAAGGCAGGUCACUGGUGCGCAACUGACGCUGAGGCACGAAAGCGUGGGGAGCAAACAGG